UAAUAAAAAUGCUAAUGCAAAUGAGUUCAUACCUCAUAAAUGGGAAACCUUUUAUUAU
rnacentral:tRNA from 1 species